rnacentral:rRNA from 1 species
CAAUAGCGUAUAUUAAAGUUGUUGCAGUUAGAAAGCUCGUAGUUGAACUUCAGACCUGGCCGGGCGGUCCGCCGCAAGGUGUGUACUGUCUGGCUGGGCCUUACCUCUUGGUGAGCCGGCAUGCCCUUUACUGGGUGUGUCGGGGAACCAGGACUUUUACCUUGAGAAAAUUAGAGUGUUCAAAGCAGGCCUAUGCCUGAAUACGUUAGCAUGGAAUAAUAAAAUAGGACGUGCGGUUCUAUUUUGUUGGUUUCUAGAGUCGCCGUAAUGAUUAAUAGGGAUAGUUGGGGGCAUUCGUAUUCCGUUGCUAGAGGUGAAAUUCUUGGAUUUACGGAAGACGAACUUCUGCGAAAGCAUUUGCCAAGGAUGUUUUCNUUAA